rnacentral:rRNA from 1 species
CCUACGGGGGGCAGCAGUGGGGAAUAUUGGACAAUGGGGGGAACCCUGAUCCAGCCAUGCCGCGUGUGUGAAGAAGGCCCUCGGGUUGUAAAGCACUUUCAGUGAGGAAGAACGCCUGGUGGUUAAUACCUAUCAGGAAAGACAUCACUCACAGAAGAAGCACCGGCUAACUCCGUGCCAGCAGCCGCGGUAAUACGGAGGGUGCGAGCGUUAAUCGGAAUUACUGGGCGUAAAGCGCGCGUAGGUGGCUUGAUAAGCCGGUUGUGAAAGCCCCGGGCUCAACCUGGGAACGGCAUCCGGAACUGUCAAGCUAGAGUGCAGGAGAGGAAGGUAGAAUUCCCGGUGUAGCGGUGAAAUGCGUAGAGCUCGGGAGGAAUACCAGUGGCGAAGGCGGCCUUCUGGACUGACACUGACACUGAGGUGCGAAAGCGUGGGUAGCAAACAGGAUUAGAUACCCCAGUAGUC